AUUGAACGCUGGCGGCAUGCUUUACACAUGCAAGUCGAACGGUAACAGCACUUCGGUGGCUGACGAGUGGCGAACGGGUGAGUAAUACAUCGGAACGUGCCUAGUAGUGGGGUAUAACUACUCGAAAGAGUAGCUAAUACCGCAUGAGAUCUAAGGAUGAAAGCAGGGGACCUUCGGGCCUUGCGCUACUAGAGCGGCUGAUGGCAGAUUAGUUAGUUGGUGGGAUAAGAGCUUACCAAGCCGACGAUCUGUAGCGGGUGUGAGAGGACGAGCGGCGACACUGGGACUGAGACACGGCCCAGACUCCUACGGGAGGCAGCAGUGGGGAAUGUGGGACAAUGGGCGCAAGCCUGACCCAGCAAUGCCGCGUGCAGGAUGAAGGCCUCCGGGUUGUAAACAGCUUUUGUACGGAACGAAAAGCUCUCUCCUAAUACAGGAGGGUAAUGACGGUACCGUAAGAAUAAGCACCGGCUAACUACGUG
rnacentral:rRNA from 1 species